rnacentral:rRNA from 1 species
AUUGAACGCUGGCGGCAUGCUUUACACAUGCAAGUCGAACGGUAACAGGCCGCAAGGUGCUGACGAGUGGCGAACGGGUGAGUAAUGCAUCGGAACGUGCCCAGUCGUGGGGAUAACUACUCGAAAGAGUAGCUAAUACCGCAUACGAUCUAUGGGUGAAAGCGGGGGACCGUAAGGCCUCGCGCGAUUGGAGCGGCCGAUGUCAGAUUAGGUAGUUGGUGGGGUAAAGGCUCACCAAGCUAACGAUCUGUAGCUGGUCUGAGAGGACGACCAGCCACACUGGGACUGAGACACGGCCCAGACUCCUACGGGAGGCAGCAGUGGGGAAUUUUGGACAAUGGGCGCAAGCCUGAUCCAGCAAUGCCGCGUGCAGGAAGAAGGCCUUCGGGUUGUAAACUGCUUUUGUACGGAACGAAACGGCUCUGGUUAAUACCCGGGGCUAAUGACGGUACCGUAAGAAUAAGCACCGGCUAACUACGU